UGGCGGACGGGUGAGUAACGCGUGGGUAACCUGCCUCGUACAGGGGGAUAACAGUUGGAAACGGCUGCUAAUACCGCAUAAGCGCACAGUACCGCAUGGUACCGUGUGAAAAACUCCGGUGGUAUGAGAUGGACCCGCGUCUGAUUAGCUAGUUGGUGGGGUAACGGCCUACCAAGGCGACGAUCAGUAGCCGACCUGAGAGGGUGACCGGCCACAUUGGGACUGAGACACGGCCCAA
rnacentral:rRNA from 1 species